rnacentral:rRNA from 1 species
UACGUAGGGGGCGAGCGUUGUCCGAAGUUACUGGGCGGUAAAGCGCGCGUAGGCGGCUUUUUAAGUCUGGGGUGAAAGGUUCUGCGCUAACGUGAACAGUGCCCUGGAGACUGGAAGGCUUGAGUGUGGGAGGGGCAGUGGAAUUCCUGGUGUAGCGGUGAAAUGCGUAGAUAUCAGGAGGAACACCGAUGGCGAGGCAGCUGCCUGGCCUAACACGUGACGCUGAGGUGACGAAAGGCGUGGGGAGCGAACGGG